AACAAACGCUGGCGGCGUGCCUAAUACAUGCAAGUCGAACGGGGAAAGCUUUCGGGUGAGUACUAGUGGCGCACGGGUGAGUAACGCGUGGAUAAUCUGCCUUAGAGUGGGGGAUAACUAGUCGAAAGAUUAGCUAAUACUGCAUAAGACCACAAGAACUGCGGUUCAAGGGGUCAAAGGUUUUUCGCUCUAAGAUGAGUCCGCGUAAGAUUAGCUAGUUGGUAGGGUAACGGCCUACCAAGGCGGCGAUCUUUAACUGGUCUGAGAGGAUGAUCAGUCACACUGGAACUGAGACACGGUCCAGACUCCUACGGGAGGCAGCAGUAGGGAAUAUUGCACAAUGGAGGAAACUCUGAUGCAGCGACGCCGCGUGAGUGAUGAAGGCCUUCGGGUCGUAAAGCUCUGUCGCAGGGGAAUAACACAAUGAAGGUACCCUGUAAGAAAGGAUCGGCUAACUUCGUGCCAGCCGCCGCCGUAAAAC
rnacentral:rRNA from 1 species